ACCAAAAAACAAAAUGUUUAAUAUCAUUAAAAUAAUAAAUAACACUUGUUCAAAAUUUCAGUCAUAUUCUUUAUCGUUUAUUGUUUACCCAAUGUGAUUCCAAUUCGUGCAUUUAGUUUGUGCAUGAUUAAGUGCUAAAUGAAAAUAUUUCUAAAUUUAAUAUUCUAUCCUGAAAUAGUUUUUUUUUUUAUUUUUUAAGCUCCAACUUCUGAGGUUAUUAGCUUGAACAAAAUUAAAUUAUUAGGUUACAUAUAUGAUUUUACAAUAGUAUUUAUUGAACUAGUUUCACAUAUAAAAUUUUUUUUUUUCCUUAAAAUACAAAUAUACAAUGGCUGAUUAAAUUGAGUUGUACAUAUCGAUUAUUUUAAGAAAUGAGAUUAUUUUGAUGGUGUUGUCAUUGGUUGGGCUGAGGGCUUCAAAGAGUUUAUCAGGCAUUUCUAAUCUUUUUCUGGUAUCUAUAUGGUUACGACAUUGGACAAGGAGGUGCUUGACUGUGAGAGGUUCUCCGCAGGUUUGGCAUAUUGCAGGAUCUUCUCUGCGCAUAAGAUGUCCAUGUGACAUCUUUGAGUGGCCAAUACGUAGCCUGUUGAUGACUACUUCGUCUUUGCGAUUUGAUGUAUGAGGUUUUUUAUUUCCCUUAGUUUAU